CGUCCCCUCUCCAGUUUCGUUUCCCGGCUGAGGCGUUCAUCCCUUUCCUCCCACCCCCCCGUUCCCGUCCCGGUGCCGAUGUCGCGGGCGAGUGGCGACGGCACCGCCGCGUUGGAGCGGGCCGGGGCAGAGACGGUGAAGCGGGCGGUGGAGCUGGACCGAGCGUCCCGGUUUCAGGAGUCGCUGGUGUGUUAUCAGGAGGGCAUCGACCUCCUGCUGCAGGUGGUGAAAGCCACGAAAGAUGAGGCAAAAAAGCACCGUUACCGUCAGAAAAUAUCCGAGUACAUGACCAGAGCUGAAGACAUUAAAAGACACAUUGAAAAAGAGAAGCAAGAUGGCAAAUACCAUAAACAAAUCAGGAUAGAGGAAAAUGCAACAGGUUUUGGCUAUGAGAAGCUUUUCCAAGAGUACCUCACUGAGAUUGUUUCUGAAGUUUGGGUAGAGGACCCGUACAUUAGGCAUGUUCAUCAGUUGUAUAACUUCCUACGAUUCUGCGAGAUGCUAGUUAAGGGGCCGUGCAAAGUGAAAACAAUCCACCUCCUCACUUCCUAUGAUGAAGGCAGCGGGAAGACUCAACAGAUAAAUGGCUUGGAAGAAAUACAACAAUCAUUGAGGAAUUAUGGAGUAACGCUGGAUAUUGCAUUUUCCUCUUCAAUACAUGAUCGAGAAAUUAGAUUCAACAAUGGAUGGAUGAUUAAGAUUGGAAGGGGUCUUGAUUAUUUUAAGAAACCACAGGUAGUCAGGUCAUCACCUGGAUUAUGCAGCCAGGACUAUGCCUCCUGGCAUUGUCUGUGAUGAGCUGGACGUCAGCUUAAGCCACCUUCCCAGCUGGAGUCUGCUGAGUGUCCUUGAGCCCUACAGUGUGACUGCCAGUCUUAGCCAAGGGCUGGAUUUGCCCCAGUUGACUGCUCUCCUUAACUAAAGUUAUUCCGUGACAGAAUUUGGUGCCAUGACUUGGAUUCACGUGUCCUGCUUCACCUGGGACAACCACAGAUUAAACCCCCUUGGUGUGACUUCUAAAGGUAAGAGACCUUCUGAAACCCAUACUGGAGUUUCAGCUGAGGGUCAUCUAUAUGGACAACAAGGACACUGGAAGUCAGAAUAUCCUUACAGGCCUAAUUGUGAGUCCUUUAAGUCCAGCAGGAUUCAGUCACCCUUCAGUCUCUUCCUUCAUAU